AAGUGAUUAACUCAACUGGUAGAGUGUCUCGCUUACAACGAGGAAGUUAGUGGUUCGAAUCCGCUAUCACUUA
rnacentral:tRNA from 1 species